rnacentral:rRNA from 1 species
UACGUUUUGCGCCUAGUGUUUACUCGCGUAAGCACGGCUUCUUAGAGGGACAAUCUGUUCUUAGCAGACGGAAGUUUGAGGCAAUAACAGGUCAGUGAUGCCCUUAGAUGCUCUGGGCUGCACGCGCGCUACAAUGAUGCAUGCAACGAGUUUAGCCUGGCUUGAAAAGGUCGGGUAAUCUUCAAUGUGCAUCUUAGUGGGGAUAGAUGAUUGCAAUUAUUCAUCUUGAACAAGGAAUAUCUAGUAAACGCAAGUCAUCAACUUGCAUUGAUUACGUCCCUGCCCUUUGUACACACCGCCCGUCGCUCCUACCGAUUGAAUAACACAGUGA